GUAGAUGUAUCGACUCCGCUGAUGAUGCAGCCUGAAAAUGGGCCAGAGGGACUCCACCUUUCGCUUCCCCUCGUGCGGUUCAGUUUCAGCUGGAACACAGAACAAGAUUCAGGAUGGAUUUUGGCACCUGUAAGCAGAAAUAUGAUGGGCCAGGUGAGCUUCCCAUUUCUUCCCAUUACCGGAUAUAGCUGAUGUGAACAGGGAAUCCAGGAAAACCACUGCCGCCGCCCCCACCCCAAUUUUUUACUGUAAGUAAAUCACAUAACUCAGUUGAGAGCCAACUUGUGUUUCAAAUAUAAACAUGUACUGAAAUUAAAUAACCCGAAUCCAUCAGUGUGGGGAGACCAUGCUGCUUCACAGUUUCAUACACAGGACGCACUUUGCGCAUACAGCCCCACGGCCGAUCACCCCGAGGAACUUCCCUGGCCUACCUUCUCUCAUUUUCUGAUCCAGCUCGUCCAAA